GCGGGUAUGGUGGAAUUGGCAGACACGUAAGAUUCAGAUUCUUAUGUUCGCAAGGACAUGCAGGUUCAAGUCCUGUUACCCGCACCA
rnacentral:tRNA from 1 species